AAGAGACAGCAGUAGCCACGGUAAUACGUAGGUGGCAAGCGUUGUCCGGAAUUAUUGGGCGUAAAGCGCGCGCAGGUGGUUUAAUAAGUCUGAUGUGAAAGCCCACGGCUCAACCGUGGAGGGUCAUUGGAAACUGUUAAACUUGAGUGCAGGAGAGAAAAGUGGAAUUCCUAGUGUAGCGGUGAAAUGCGUAGAGAUUAGGAGGAACACCAGUGGCGAAGGCGGCUUUUUGGCCUGUAACUGACACUGAGGCGCGAAAGCGUGGGGAGCAAACAGGAUUAGAGACCCCAGUAGUCCCUGUCUCUUAUAC
rnacentral:rRNA from 1 species